UGCAAGUCGAGCGGUAACAGGGGUGUGCUUGCUACCCGCUGACGAGCGGCGGACGGGUGAGUAAUGCAUAGGAAUCUGCCCGAUAGUGGGGGAUAACCUGGGGAAACCCAGGCUAAUACCGCAUACGUCCUACGGGAGAAAGGGGGCUCCGGCUCCCGCUAUCGGAUGAGCCUAUGUCGGAUUAGCUAGUUGGUGAGGUAAAGGCUCACCAAGGCGACGAUCCGUAGCUGGUCUGAGAGGAUGAUCAGCCACAUCGGGACUGAGACACGGCCCGAACUCCUACGGGAGGCAGCAGUGGGGAAUAUUGGACAAUGGGGGGAACCCUGAUCCAGCCAUGCCGCGUGUGUGAAGAAGGCCCUCGGGUUGUAAAGCACUUUCAGUGAGGAAGAACGCCUGGUGGUUAAUACCCAUCAGGAAAGACAUCACUCACAGAAGAAGCACCGGCUAACUCCGUGCCAGCAGCCGCGGUAAUACGGAGGGUGCGAGCGUUAAUCGGAAUUACUGGGCGUAAAGCGCGCGUAGGUGGCUUGAUAAGCCGGUUGUGAAAGCCCCGGGCUCAACCUGGGAACGGCAUCCGGAACUGUCAAGCUAGAGUGCAGGAGAGGAAGGUAGAAUUCCCGGUGUAGCGGUGAAAUGCGUAGAGAUCGGGAGGAAUACCAGUGGCGAAGGCGGCCUUCUGGACUGACACUGACACUGAGGU
rnacentral:rRNA from 1 species